rnacentral:rRNA from 1 species
UACAGAGGUCCCGAGCGUUGUUCGGAUUCAUUGGGCGUAAAGGGUGCGUAGGCGGUGGGGUAAGUUGGAUGUGAAAUCUUGGGGCUUAACCUCAAAUUGCAUUCAAUACUGCUCCGCUAGAGUCUGUAGAGGAGAUUGGAAUUACGGUGUAGCAGUGAAAUGCGUAGAUAUCGUAAGGAACGCCAGUGGCGAAAGCGAAUCUCUGGGCAGCAACUGACGCUGAGGCACGAAGGCCAGGGAGCAAACGGG